rnacentral:lncRNA from 1 species
AUUUAACAGAUAUUUAUUGAGUACCUGCUAUGUGCCAGGCACUGGGUGUUAGAAAUACAGUCAUGAACAAAACAGAUCCAUUUUCCCUUGAUUCUGUAGGGAAGAUAGACCACAGACCCCAGAACCAAGAGAUCGGUAAUACACUGCCUGGCAGUGACCUGCGCUGUGGGAAUCGGGUAUGAGGAUGGGGUCAGGUGUCCAAUACAGCGGCAGAAGAGCAGGUACCCAGGCAGAUAUGGGCAGAUUAAGAAACGAACCAGGGUUGAAGGGCCAACCCAAAGUGCGCAGCAAAUCAGAGGCGGGAGCCUGGGCCUGCAGCAUAGGAAUGUUCACCCACAGCUGCUGAAGCAGCCGCAGCAGCUCCCUCUGCCCCUGACUAAGGGGUGUGCCCAGCGAAGCCACCUGCCCUCACCUCCCCCUUGGCUCCUGCCCCUGACUCCCGCAGUCUGGAGUCCAGCAAGGCAAGGGAACUGACACAGCCCCCAGGGUCACGAUGGCUUCCAUUCUUUGACAUUCACCAGUGUCACUGGCUGAGCUCAGGCUACACGGCCAUCUUCUCUUUGAAGCCUCCAAACCAGCUGGUGAAGUCAGUAGCACCCCUGUGUUUUUUAUCAAGGUAAGGUUCACAUAACAUAAAAUGAAGCAUUUUAAAGUGAACACUUCAGUGGAAUUUAGUAUAUUUACAGGGUUGUGGAACCUCCGCCUCUGUCUAGUUCCAAAACAUUUUUAUCACCCCAAAAGGAAACCCAUACCCACUAAACAGUUGCUCUCCUUUCCCUCCUCCCCCAGGUGUCUUGGCUGACCUGAAAACCCCAGGGCGCCCUGAGGGAAAGAAAGCCAGGGAAGGGAUGCAUGGGAAGCUGGGUGAUUAUUGCCCUCUAUUCCAGGGUUGGGGGUGGGGACCACCUGUCCAGGGAGCAUAGCCUAGCUGAGGGGCAGGAAUGGGCCCCUGCCUGUCCCAGGGUCAGCCCAGGGUCAGAUGGGGCCAACUAUAGUCCCCACGGCCAGGACAUGGCUGCUGAGAGGCCCGGUGACCACAGCUGUGUUCUCUGGGCUCUGGUUGAAGCACUUUGCAUGCAUUAAUCCUAAAGCCGAUCUUUACAGCCUCCCUGAAAGGAAGGUGCAUGAGGUCCCUGUUUUACAGAUGAAGAAACUAAGGCUCACAGAUUGGAGAAAUGUGCCCAUAGCUAGGUGGCCAGGAAACAGUACAGUCAGGAUUCACAUCCUUCUGAUUCCAAAGGCUUUGCCCUUGACAACUGCUUAGAGCUUUUCUGCUGGCUGUGCCUAGCACCAGGCUGGACUGGACCCAGGAGUCAGGAUAACUUGGCAAAAAGGGGCUGUGGAUCUUGGGGCUGCAGGCAGGGAAACAUAGGGAUCUAUAGCCCACCAACACCUUCCAUGAGGCACAAGGGGAAAGUAACUGGACCAAGUCAAGGGCAACUCCAUGAGUUAAAGGGCACACAGGGGAACUCUCCCAUCCAGCCCUCAGCCAGCUCUCCAAGGAAGACUGGAGUAAGCCAGGGGCAGGUGCUGGCCAGCGUGCUUCUGGAGAACAAGUCCCAGAUGCUGCUCAACUUGGGGUCAGAGGAAGCCAAGAGGGGACCCCAGAGCCAUGCCUGGUCAGGCACAGCCCCUCCCCAGCAGUGAGUUUGUACCCACUGCCCACUUCGGGAGUGGGGGCUUGUCAUGACAUACAGUGAGCUAACAGAGGGUAUGAAGGGCCUCCUGGAGGGGGUGGGGUGCACAGGAAACUGCUCAACACCUUGGUGCCCUCCCCUGUGCACUCAGGUCUUGCAUGAGCUGCCUGUCCUGGAGGAAUCCUUGAAGGGGACAGACAGCACCAUCCUCCCUCACCUUUCUGCACAGAGUCCCAGGAACCUGAGCAGGGCAAAUGUUUUCACCACCCUGUUCUGAGAACAAAUUGAGCAGGCCUAUUAGCCCCAUAUUCCCACAUGUGGUCCUGGAGACUACGCUCCAUCCUGGAAAAUGCCAUAGAGGUCACUUUGGGCAUGCGGCACAGCGGCUGUCCGAGGGGGUGUGUUUAGGGCUGGACACCUUCCGGUCCAGCACAGGCCAUGAGGAGCAGGCGAGUGCCCUCUAGUGGCCUCUCCCGGCACGGGUUGCAUAGAGCCCCACUUCCCAAAGACAGCUCGCCUAGGAGCACAGGGACAAUCCCAGUCUCCUUCCUACAGGGUCUGGAAGCGUUGUGCAACUAACCCUCAAUUUUUUCAAAAGAAAAAAGGAAGUGAUAGAUCUACAUCAGAAGGUGUUACUAUUUCUAGUUCACAAAUGAAAAAGGGGUGGCCAGGCACGGUGGCUCACGCCUGUAAUCCCAGCACUUUGGGAGGCCGAGGCGGGUGCAUCACUUGAGGCCAGGAGUUUGAGAUCAGCCUGGUCAACAUGGUGAAACCCCGUCUCUGCUAAAAACACAAAAAUUAGCCAGGCAUGCUGGCAGGCGCCUGUAAUCUCAGCUACUUGGGAGGCUGAGGCAUGAGAAUAGCUUGAACCCACGAGCCAGAGGUUGCAGUGAGCCGAGAUUGCACCGCUGCACUCCAGCCUGGGCAACAAAGCAAGACUCUGCCUCAAAUAAAAACAAAAUAAAACAAACAAAAAAUACAAAUGAAAAAGAUACAGAACUUGGGUUUUUCAACUCAGCUGUGAUGGCAAACUUGUGCUGGUGUUUAGGCACUCGACUUUAACUGCUCAGAUUUUAACAAGAGGCUAUUUCCAACCAAAAGCGUAGCUUUUUCUCUCCUGUCUCCUGCUCCCAAGAGAGACUGCACUGUUGAGGAGAAAGCAGGGAAAUGGCUCUUCCUCCUCUCUGUGGUAAAAAGGAUCAAUGAUAAACUUUUCCUUAUCUUGUUAUACUUUACAAAGGCCUUUCACCUGUGUUAUCUUAUUUGCACGUCACACCAGCCCUGUGAGGGAGGAAGUAUUAGCCCCAUCCAAUAUGUAACUCCAAAGGUAGCUGUCCACUUAACUUCCAGCCCUGCAGCUACACAAGCCCCAUGGGACCAAACCCAAAUGAAGUCUCAAUAAAUUUAAAAAGAUAACUGUCAUAUAAAGUAUCUCCUUGGACCACAACAGGAUGAAGUUAAAAAAUCAAUAACAGAAAUAUAACUGAAGGCCGGUCGUGGUGGCUCACGCCUGUAAUCCCAGCAAUUUGGGAGGCCUCGGAGGUGGGCAGAUCACUUGAGCCCAGAAUUCGAGAACAGCCUGGGCAACAUGCUGAAACCCCAUCUCUACAAAAUAAUAAUAAUAAUAAUAAUAAUAAUAAUAAAUAAAAAAUAGCCAGGCAUGGUGGCGCACACCUGUAGUCCCAGCUACUCUUAGAGGCUGAGGUGGGAAGAUCAUCUGAGCCUGGGAAGGUUGGGGCUGCAGUGAGCUGUGAUCACACCACUGCACUCCAGUCUGGGCGACAGAGUGAGACCCUGUCUACAAAAAAAGAAAAGAAAAGGAAAUACAACUGGAAAAUUCACAAAUUUGUGAAAAAACAAUGCACUCUUAACCAAUGGAUCAAAGAAGACAUCACAAAGGAAACCAGAAAAUACCUAGAAAUAAAAGAAAAUGAAAACACAACAAAGCAAAAUGUAUGAGAUACAACAAAAGCAGCGCUAAGGAGAAAAUUUAUAGCUAUAAGUAACACAACAUAGCAAAAUGUAUGACAUACAAUAAAAGCAGUGCUAAGGUGGAAAUUUAUAGCUGUAAGUGUUUACAUUAAAAAACAAGAAAGAUUUCAAAUCAACAACCUAACUUUACAACUUGAGGAAGUAUAAAGAGAAAACCAAACAACCCAAUAUUUAAAUAAAUUUAAAAAGAUAACUGUCAUAUAAAGUAUCUCCUCGGACCACAACAGGAUGAAGUUAAAAAUCAAUAACAGAAAUAUAACUGGAGGCCAGUCGUGGUAGUCAAAAUAAAUAUUAGCAACAAAUGAAACUGAGAAUAGAAACACAAUAGAAAAGGCUGGGCACAGUUAUUCAUGCCUGUAAUCCCAGCACUCUGGGAGGCCAAGGCAGGCAGAUCACUUGAGCUCAGGAGUUCAAGACCAGCAUGGGCAACAUGGCAAAACCCCACCUCUACCAAAAAUACAAAAAAUUAGCUGGGCAUGGCGGUGUGUGCCUGUAGUCCCAGCUACUCAGGAGGCUGAAAUGGGCGGAUCGCUUGAGCCUGGGAAGCAGAAGUUGCAGGGAGCCAAGAUCAUGCCACUGCACCCCAGCCUGGGCAACAGAGCAAGACCCCAUUUCAGAAAAAGAAAAAGAAAAACAAUAGAGAUAAACCAGCGAAACAAAAAGUUUGUUUUUUGAAAUGAUCAACAAAAUUGAAAAACCUUUAGCUAGAUGGACUAAUAAAAGAGAGAGAGAAGCCUCAAAUUACUGAAAUCAGAAAUGAAAGUGGGGACAUUUGGCCGGGCGCGGUGGCUCACUCCUGUAAUCCCAGCACUUUGGGAGGCCAAGGCGGGUGUUAUCACCUGAUGUCAGGAGUUCGAGACCAGCCUGGCCAAUAUGGUGAAACCCUGUCUCUACUAAAAAAGUACAAAAAUUAGCCAGGCGUGGUGGCACAUGCCUGUAAUGCCCAGCUACUCAGGAGGCUGAGGCAGGAGAAUCUCUUGAACCUGG